UAGUCCACGCCGUAAACGAUGUCUACUAGCCGUUGGGGUACUUGAGACCUUAGUGGCGCAGCUAACGCACUAAGUAGACCGCCUGGGGAGUACGGCCGCAAGGUUAAAACUCAAAUGAAUUGACGGGGGCCCGCACAAGCGGUGGAGCAUGUGGUUUAAUUCGAUGCAACGCGAAGAACCUUACCAGGUCUUGACGUACAGCGAAGUUACCAGAGAUGGUUUCGUGCCUUCGGGAGCGCUGAUACAGGUGCUGCAUGGCUGUCGUCAGCUCGUGUCGUGAAAUGUUGGGUUAAGUCCCGUAACGAGCGCAACCCUUGUCCCUAUUUGCCAGCGAUUCGGUCGGGAACUCUAGGGAGACUGCCGGUGACAAACCGGAGGAAGGUGGGGACGACGUCAAGUCAUCAUGGCCCUUACGGGUAGGGCUACACACGUGCUACAAUGGCCGGUACAAUGGGUUGCGAAUCCGCGAGGUGGAGCUAAUCCCAUAAAGCCGGUCUCAGUCCGGAUCGGAGUCUGCAACUCGACUCCG
rnacentral:rRNA from 1 species